rnacentral:rRNA from 1 species
CGGGGGGGGCAAGCGUUGUUCGGAAUUACUGGGCGUAAAGGGCUCGUAGGCGGCCAACUAAGUCGGACGUGAAAUCCCCAGGCUCAACCUGGGAACUGCGUCCGAUACUGGAUGGCUUGAAUCCGGGAGAGGGAUGCAGAAUUCCAGGUGUAGCGGUGAAAUGCGUAGAUAUCUGGAGGAAUACCGGUGGCGAAGGCGGCAUCCUGGACCGGCAUUGACGCUGAGGAGCGAAAGCCAGGGGAGCAAACGGGAUUAGAUACCCCGGUAGUCCUGGCCCUAAACGAUGAAUGCUUGGUGUGACGGGUAUCGAUCCCUGUCGUGCCGAAGCUAACGCAUUAAGCAUUCCGCCUGGGGAGUACGGUCGCAAGGCUG